UCUUAUUCAGAUUUUAUUAGCCAUGCUUUUAUUCUUAUAGCAUGUGCUCUAAUUCUUAUAGCAAUAAAAGUGCUCAACCAAUGUUCUUCUCCAUUCAGCCACCAGUAUGCAGAGGUGGAGGAUAGGGAGAAUGAUCCAUGCUGGAGAAGCAGGGCACAUGCUAGAUAUAUCAGCUUCAAUGUUCUGAGAAUUUUGCAUGUGCUCUAG
rnacentral:lncRNA from 1 species